UGCUCCCUCUCGGAGGUCUUUGCCUGGCCAGGACCUCUGUCUGGGACCUGAGUCUCUCACACCAAGCCCGGUGCAGACUGAAAAACCUUGGUUAAGUGCGCCCGCUCCUGGAGGGGCCGUCUCAGGUCCGCACGGGCCUUGCCUCUCUGUCUCCGCGUUCGGCUGCGGCCGCGGCCCUAGGACACCGCUGAUGGCCUCGGGGCCCGUUAUGUCCCCCGAGAAAAACCCCGCGCGCCAGUCAACACUGUGAGCCCGAGCCGUGUUUCUGUGGAAGGAGGUGGGACUUGGACUGAUGAAACAGCGCGUGUGUCAGGUGCAGCCGGGCCCCCGGCCAGGUAGAGUGUUUGCCCUAUUUGCUGAGUUUAUUUUCCAGUCCGAAAGAGGAGAACAAGGCCCGUGAGGCCUGCCCUUCUUCCCCUCCUACACCCCACUGACCAGAGCAUCCAGACCCCUGCAGGAGGCGCAGCUGCAGACAAGUCAGACCCUGUGCUUCUGCGUUCGCAAGCGAGCAAGCACCGACACAAAAGCCAGCGUGAAGCUACAGGCCUGGAGAAUGGCCCUCAUUCCCGUCCUGUUUGCCAACUUGUUUUCUGUGUUUAUUCCUCGUGAAUAAAUACCAGUGACAAACUCUUUCCUGGCCAGAUGAAUAAAUAUGUUCCGAAUCACAGAAGCAGCACACAGUGGACACAGAGGAAAGAGAUCAGAUCAGCUGGGAGACGUUCAUACCUGCUCGUCGUGCCUCAUGGGAUGUGACCUGCACACCCAGACUUCCUCAGUCCUCAGACAGGAUGGGAGCAAGGACAGCAGGCCAGGACAUCCAAAGCCAGCCCUGGGCUGGAGCACCCGGGACAUGGACCACAGGCUUCUGCUCUCGGUGACCGGCAGGAGCAGAACUUGCAAGAGGGAAAGUAGGACAACUGAAGCCAUAAACUUCGGAGAUGCUGCAUCUGCAAAGUGGACAAAGGCAGCACAACCAGUUUCAAUAGAGAAAUGCUGCAUAGGAAGGAGCAGCUGAAGAGGCCGCAGCUGGGAUGGGGACCAGGAGCCACUCACGAACAGACUACACCAUGACCAGAGGUCAUUCUUGGAGUUCCAGCUCAGAAGGAAGGCAGUGCACGCAGGGUGUUUAUAACAACUAAACCUUUGUGUAAGUAAGGCCUUACGGGCCAGCCUGACACCCAUCAGAACAAUAAAGCAGCAGGUCCUCACCAAGGCCAGGAGGGUGGCCACAAGAGCCACACCCUAUAGUUUCCUGGUGUCCCAAGACACCUGGAAAACAAGGCCUAAAAAGACUGGUAAAAAUUACAGAAAGAGUGAGGUUCAUAAUUAAUAAAGCUUUUAGAAAAGGAAAGUGCUAAAUAGAUAACCUACAGCCAGUCUAGCAAUCAAUUCCAGAAAGCGGUUUCUUUGGAGGUUCAUAAAACCAACCAGAAAUCUCUAAAAUCAAAAGUAAUUAAAUAUUUACCUUGUAAUUGAAAAAAUAUCAAUAAAGCUCUCAUAGAAUAUUUAAUACUAAGCAGCAAAAUUUCCUGAUGACUCACCAAAAUAAAAUAGCUGCCAAGUGUGUAUCUGGGAACAGAAUGAUUAA